AGAAUAGCACUGUUGUUUCCAAAGUUCUGUAUUUAUCCAAAGAAUGGGUACAGCAUGAGCACGUGCAACACCAGAUCCCCCUCAGAUUUCCCUCCACUUCACCCAUGGCUUAACCCUGAUGCAGAAGGACCCUGCUCUGGAGUGAGAGGGGCAUUCAGACUCUGUGCCACUUUCAAUCCUUGGCCUCU
rnacentral:sRNA from 1 species